CCUACGGGAGGCAGCAGUGAGGAAUAUUGGUCAAUGGGCGUAAGCCUGAACCAGCCAAGUCGCGUGAGGGAUGAAGGUUCUAUGGAUCGUAAAUCUCUUUUAUAAGGGGAUAAAGUGCGGGACGUGUCCCGUUUUGUAUUUACCUUAUGAAUAAGGAUCGGCUAACUCCGUUCCAUCAGUUGCGGUAAUACGGAGGGUCCGAUCGUUAUCCGUAUUUAUUUGGUUUAUAGGGUGCGUAGGCGGACUUUUAAGUCAGCGGUGAAAUUCUGUGGCUCAACCAUAGAAUUGCCGUUGAAACUGGGAGGCUUGAGUAUGUUUGAGGCAGGCGGAAGGCGUGGUGUAGCGGUGAAAUGCUUAGAGAUCAGGCAGAACCCCGAUUGCGAAGGCAGCCAGCAAAGCCAUGACUGACGCUGAGGCACGAAAGCGUGGGGAUCAAACAGGAUUAGAUACCCGAGUAGUC
rnacentral:rRNA from 1 species